rnacentral:rRNA from 1 species
GACGAACGCUGGCGGCGUGCCUAAUACAUGCAAGUUGAGCGCUGAAGGUUGGUACUUGUACCAACUGGAUGAGCAGCGAACGGGUGAGUAACGCGUGGGGAAUCUGCCUUUGAGCGGGGGACAACAUUUGGAAACGAAUGCUAAUACCGCAUAAAAACUUUAAACACAAGUUUUAAGUUUGAAAGAUGCAAUUGCAUCACUCAAAGAUGAUCCCGCGUUGUAUUAGCUAGUUGGUGAGGUAAAGGCUCACCAAGGCGAUGAUACAUAGCCGACCUGAGAGGGUGAGCGGCCACAUUGGGACUGGGAAACGGCCCAAACGCCGACGGGAGGCAGCAGAAGGGAAUCUUCGGCAAUGGACGAAAGUCUAACCGAGCAACGCCGCGUGAGUGAAGAAGGUUUUCGGAUCGAAAAACUCUGUUGGUAGAGAAGAACGUUGGUGAGAGUGGAAAGCUCAUCAAGGGACGGUAACUACCCAGAAAGGGACGGCUAACUACGUA